rnacentral:rRNA from 1 species
GAUCCUACGGGGCGCAGCAGUGAGGAAUAUUGGUCAAUGGGCGGGAGCCUGAACCAGCCAAGUCGCGUGAGGGACGACGGUCCUAUGGAUUGUAAACCACUUUUGUAGAGAACGAAAAGACACCUUCGAAUAAAGGGUGUUGCUGACGGUACUCUAAGAAUAAGCACCGGCUAACUACGUGCCAGCAGCCGCGGUAAUACGUAGGGUGCGAGCGUUAAUCGGAAUUACUGGGCGUAAAGGGUGCGCAGGCGGUUGAGUAAGACAGAUGUGAAAUCCCCGAGCUUAACUCGGGAAUGGCAUAUGUG